rnacentral:rRNA from 1 species
UACGUAGGGUGCAAGCGUUGUCCGGAAUUAUUGGGCGUAAAGAGCUCGUAGGCGGUCUGUCGCGUCGAAUGUGAAAACCCGGGGCUCAACCCCGGGCCUGCAUUCGAUACGGGCAGACUAGAGUUCGGUAGGGGAGUCUGGAAUUCCUGGUGUAGCGGUGGAAAUGACGCAGAUAUCAGGAGGAACACCGAUGGCGAAGGCAGGUCUCUGGGCCGAUACUGACGCUGAGGAGCGAAAGCGUGGGGGAGCGAACAGG